ncrna:Carica papaya miR8139d stem-loop (cpa-MIR8139d, cpa-MIR8139e)
UCCUGGCUGAGGACGGGUGUUGAAGCUCCUUUCCACGAUCUGUGCCUUUGCUAGGACU